rnacentral:rRNA from 1 species
AUUGAACGCUGGCGGCAGGCCUAACACAUGCAAGUCGAACGAGUGGCGGACGGGUGAGUAAUGUCUGGGAACCUGCCCGAUGGAGGGGGAUAACUCCUGGAAACGGUAGCUAAUACCGCAUACCAUCGGAUGUGCCCAGAUGGGAUUAGCUAGUAGGUGGGGUAACGGCUCACCUGGGCGACGAUCCCUAGCUGGGCUGAGAGGAGGACCAGCCACACUGGAACGGAGACACGGUCCAGACUCCGACGGGAGGCAGCAGGUGGGAAUAUUGCACAAUGGGCGCAAGCCUGAUGCAGCCAUCCCGCGUGUAUGAAGAAGGCCUUCGGGUUGUAAAGUACUUUCAGCGGGGAGGCGUUACCCGCAGAAGAAGCACCGGCUAACUCCGUGCCAGCAGCCGCGGUAAUAC